AGAAAACGUAAUUACACCUUAUACAAUGAAUAAGAUAGUUGAAUGUGAGGGAAGAAGGAACUUCUGCAAACACAAUUAGGCAUCACACUUAUGGCUGUGAAUAAGCUGACCUUCAAUUUACUGUUUGUGAGAAGCUUUACCCACAGCUCAAUUAUAAAUUGAACAUGCCCGCCUAGAGCUCUUUAAGCUGAAUCGAACUUAACUUUGGUUCAGCUUGUGAGCCUAGCUCAUAACUGGUGCAUCUAUCAGUCCCGAGUGCAAUGAUGCCUUGUUAGGGCAAUCUGAUUCUUGAAAAUAUUCAAGUGAUGUUCUCUUGUGGAGGAUCUGGUGGAGCCAAAGCAUCACAAUUGUCUUAAUGUAUGUGAGAUUUAUUUCUUAUUGGAAAAAAAGCAGAAGCCUGUAUUUCUCUUCGUAAAAAAUGAACAUCAAUGUGUCAAGUGAGGUCCUUUGAGCUGCGUCACAUGUGGCUUUUGGCAGUUUUAGUUGCCAAUAGGUCCAAUGUUAAUUUAUUGCCUUCACAAAAUUGUUGAUGUUGCUCUUUUUUUUCCCCCCACAAAUUUCCAUUUUCUUAUAUGAUGCUCAAGAAUACCAUCUGCCUGAUGGUAUUUAGUUAGAGAAAAAUUAAAAAAAAUAUUGAAGUUUAGGAAUGAAGCUUGAUUGGUUGACAUGGUCCUAAGUUCUUGUUCGACUUGAUAGUCUCAACCUUGGCUAGCUGUGUCUAGGGGAAUAACCAAUGUGUCAAGAGCUUGAGCCAGGCUCAUGCUCAUGCAUAUUCAGCUUUGGGUUGCCAUUUAAGAAAAUUUGGGGGCCAUAUAAUUCUUCAUAUAUGUGUAAGAAGUAAAAUUUUAAAAAGUUUAUUUUUGGGGGAGGGUGGCAACUAUAGUGUAGGGCUGCCCCAUGGAUAGAUCCAUUUCUUUAAUUGCCAUGCAUUGAUAAUUUCUGAUUCUGUUGACUCAAAGUUUCAUUCAGGAUACAGUUACUGAGCAAGCUG
rnacentral:misc_RNA from 1 species